UACGUAGGUGGCAAGCGUUAUCCGGAUUUACUGGGUGUAAAGGGCGUGUAGGCGGGACUGCAAGUCAGAUGUGAAAACCACGGGCUCAACCUGUGGCCUGCAUUUGAAACUGUAGUUCUUGAGUACUGGAGAGGCAGACGGAAUUCCUAGUGUAGCGGUGAAAUGCGUAGAUAUUAGGAGGAACACCAGUGGCGAAGGCGGCCUACUGGACGGUGACUGACGCUGAGGCUCGAAAGCGUGGGGAGCAAACAGG
rnacentral:rRNA from 1 species